ensembl:miRNA
AUGAUUAUAUGAGGGACCGAUGCCAGAGGAACUGGUUAUGAUUUGCAUCUGGCAUCCGUCACACAGAUAAUUAU